GAUGAACGCUGGCGGCGUGCCUAAUACAUGCAAGUCGAGCGAACAGAUAAGGAGCUUGCUCCUUUGACGUUAGCGGCGGACGGGUGAGUAACACGUGGGUAACCUACCUAUAAGACUGGGAUAACUUCGGGAAACCGGAGCUAAUACCGGAUAACAUUUGGAACCGCAUGGUUCUAAAGUGAAAGAUGGUUUUGCUAUCACUUAUAGAUGGACCCGCGCCGUAUUAGCUAGUUGGUAAGGUAACGGCUUACCAAGGCAACGAUACGUAGCCGACCUGAGAGGGUGAUCGGCCACACUGAAACUGAGACACGGUCCAGACUCCUACGGGAGGCAGGAGUAGGGAAUCUUCCGCAAUGGGCGAAAGCCUGACGGAGCAACGCCGCGUGAGUGAUGAAGGGUUUCGGCUCGUAAAACUCUGUUAUUAGGGAAGAACAAACGUGUAAGUAACUGUGCACGUCUGGACGGUACCUAAUCAGAAAGCCACGGCAAACUACGU
rnacentral:rRNA from 1 species